rnacentral:rRNA from 1 species
GACGAACGCUGGCGGCGUGCUUAACACAUGCAAGUCGAACGAGAUCCAUGUUGUAGCAAUACUUCGGAAGAUCUAGUGGCGAACGGGUGAGGAACACGUGAGGAACCUGCCCCGGACUCCGGGAUAACAGUUGGAAACGCUUGCUAAUACCGAAUACCUCUGCGAAGUGGCAUCACUUUGCAAAGAAAGAAUUACGGUCCGGGAGGGUCUCGCGGCCUAUCAGCUAGUUGGUGGGGUAACGGCCUACCAAGGCAUCGACGGGUAGCUGGUCUGAGAGGAUGAUCAGCCACACUGGGACUGAGACACGGCCCAGACUCCUACGGGAGGCAGCAGUGGGGAAUCUUGUGCAAUGGGCGAAAGCCUGACACAGCAACGCCGCGUGCGGGAAGAAGGCCUUCGGGUCGUAAACCGCUUUCAGCAGGAACGAAAAUGACGGUACCUGCAGAAGAAGGUGCGGCCAACUACGUGCCAGCAGCCGCAGUAA